rnacentral:rRNA from 1 species
UACGAGGACGACGCUGGCGGCGUGCCUAACACAUGCAAGUCGAGCGAGGAGAUUCCUUCGGGAUGAUCCUAGCGGCGGACGGGUGAGUAACACGUGGGCAACCUGCCUCAUAGAGAGGAAUAGCCUUCCGAAAGGGAGAUUAAUACCUCAUAACAUUGCAGUUUCGCAUGGAACAGCAAUUAAAGGAGUAAUCCGCUAUGAGAUGGGCCCGCGGCGCAUUAGCUAGUUGGUGAGGUAACGGCUCACCAAGGCGACGAUGCGUAGCCGACCUGAGAGGGUGAUCGGCCACAUUGGGACUGAGACACGGCCCAGACUCCUACGGGAGGCAGCAGUGGGGAAUAUUGCACAAUGGGGGAAACCCUGAUGCCAGCAACGCCGCGUGAGUGAUGACGGCCUUCGGGUUGUAAAGGCUCUGUCUUCAGGGACGAUAAUGACGGUACCUGAGGAGGAAGCCACGGCUAACUACGUGCCAGCCGCCGC